rnacentral:tRNA from 1 species
AGCGAGUUGGCGCAGAGGUAGCGUGUUCGGCUCAUAACCGGAAGGUCCCAGGAUCGAAACCUGGACUCGCUA